UAUCAGAAGUUUCACAGGCUUCUUGUGUAUCCAUAAACACCCAUCCCAUUAAGACGCCUAGAAAACCUGGCCCUCCCCAAGCCUUUAUUGACCGCUUGUGAAUGAUCCCAGGGUGUGUCUGACCAACAGCUCUUCCUGGAGGGAGACAAGUCUCUCCUAGGUAUUUGGUUAUCAACCUCAACCAUUUGCUCAGCCUUCCCCAAGACCAGGCACCUCGGCAGAGAUUUCUGGGUUGUCAGGCAGAACCGAGCAUUCAAGGGUGAUAACUCACUGGAGUCCCUGAAAUCCCUGAUUAACGCACCAGGUAAAAGCAUCCAGGGUUGAAACCAGAUCAGGAAGGUUAUUGUCAGCCUGGGGCUCCUGUAGAGGUGCAUCCACGUUGCAGGUAUUUUCCCUUCUUGCUGAGGAGAAACCUGGGUUUCUCAGCUUUGGCACAGUCACAACACUUGGGGUCAGACCAUUCAUGGUGGUGGUGGUGGGGCCGUCCCGUGUAUUGUAGGAUGGUUAGCAGCAUCUCUGGUCUCCAUCCUCUAGGUGCCACUCU
rnacentral:lncRNA from 1 species